CUCUUAUGAGUAUAUGUUAGUUUUAAUAAUUUGAAUGUGAACCUAAUUUUACUGGACAAAUUAUAACUAAGUCAUGUGCAGCUUCACAGAUCCAGUAUGGCCAAAUGCCCUUAGAAGGCCACUUCCAAUU